rnacentral:lncRNA from 1 species
UUUCUGUUUAUUGUUUAUUACAGUUUUCACCUGACAUACAGUUUUCACAUUUGGAAAUAUCAAUAAAGGCUGUUUGGCACGUCUGCGCUGAACCCAGCUCCGGCCACGCCCCCUUUUCGAAAUCCACUCAUCUUCCCAAUCUCCUGCAUCAGUCAGAAUCGUGUUUAUUGGCCAAGUGAAGAGUGCAGGAAGUGCAGAGAUAAAUAUUAAAUGGUAAAAAGAAAAUGACGUAAGAGGGAGAAGAGAAAUCUGUGUGUGUGCAUGAGCUUGUGUGGAAAAGUGUGUGUGCCCUUCAAUGAUAUCGAGAACCUAGAGUCUUGAACACAGGGGCAUUGCACACAGUCACAGUCACCAGAUUUCCUGUGUUAGACUUUACCUCUGUGCUUUGCCCGUGUUAGACUUUAUCGUCUGUGCUUUGCCCGUGUUUGGACAUUAUCGUCUGUGCUUUGCCCGUGUUUGGACAUUAUCUUCAGGGUUUCAGUUCUUUGUGCUUUGGAAUCCCGUUAUUUGUGUUACUCCAGCGACUGCCUCUAUUUUGGGACUGUUUCUCGAAUGUGUGGGUGUCAUUCGCUCUCGCUGCAACCGGUUCCUCUUGGUGCAUCCAGGUCCAUCGAACUGUUUUUAUUUGUAUCCAAUUUUUGCUCGGCGUUUGACCGGUUUGGCGCUAAACGGUUGACUAUUUGUGGAUAAACAAAGCAUUUAAGAGGAAAGGACUUCUCUGUCGGACAGCAUCAUGUGGAUCUUGAUCCUCAUACCAUUUUUGCUUGCAGAGCCCUCGACCUCAACCUCGCUAGAUUUAACACAAGCAAAAGGCUUGCUCAACACUACUGUGAAGUUGCCUUGUGAAAAGCCGUGUCAUGGUGUUGUGAAAUGGGUGAAGCACUCAGUGAUGAAGGAGGGUAUGAAGGCCACUGUGAUGGUAAAGUUAUUUGUGACGUCACACUGGAGCUUUUAGCUCAUCACAACACUGCGGAGGUCCGUAUAGGUGACGCCCUGUUCAUUGGUCUUCUAAGUUCAGAGCCAGUGAGAGUGACGUUCCGUAAGGCCAGUCACUCCACUGAUGACUUGGUGUGUGUCGUAGAGGGAGCUGUGCCCUUAUGCGUUAGAGAAUACAGCAGGAGAUCUUCUGUCCAGGACUACACUGUGACCUUUACUAACGUGACUGAAUCCGAUGAAGGAGUUUUCACUGUGAGAGACAGCAACACCAUGCGGAGGCUCAACAUCGUGAAGCUUACCAUCAAAGAUGGGUUACAAAAUAAGAUGAAUGAAGAUGUUGGUACUUUUAAGGACAACGUAAAUGUGCCUGUCCCAGACACUUGGCAGUUCUCCAUUCCGUGGGAAAUCGCUCUGUUCAUCGGGGGUUUCAUCCUGAACAUAUUCCUCUGGAAAAUCCUAGCAUUUGGCAAGAGAACAUAUACUAGGAUAAGAAACACAUUCUCUCCUCCUCCACAACCGGAAGAGACACUUGGGCUAGCCCCGUUUCCAGGAACCAACAGAUCGUCAAUCCAAAGGAUGAGAGCAGAAGAAUCAGCGCUGGGCCCUGGGCCUGUUCAAACAAAGGAUGUUGUCCACUCAUUGCAGUGAUGUGCAUCGGGACCAUUUAAAGGAUGUUGUCCACUCAUUGCAGUGAUGUGCAUCUGGACCAUUUAAAGGAUGUUGUCCACACAUUGCAGUGAUGUACAUCGGGAUAUAAAGGAUGUUGUCCACACAUUGCAGUGAUGUGCAUCUGGACCAUUUAAAGGAUGUUGUCCACACAUUGCAGUGAUGUGCAUCGGGAUAUAAAGGAUGUUGUUCACACAUUGCAGUGAUGUGCAUCAGGAUAUAAAGGAUGUUGUCCACACAUUGCAGUGAUGUGCAUCGGGACCAUUUAAAGGAUGUUGUCCACACAUUGCAAUGAUGUGCAUUGGGACCAUUUAACCCUUUGAUGCCAGCCCCCAAAAUGACCGAUUUGGGGCGCUUUCAUUUAAAACAGUGAUGUAAAGACACUUUGUAACAUGUUAAUGUGUGAUAUCUCAUUCAAAGCUAAUAGUAACACAGCACAAUUUUUUUUCAUUAUUCAAUGGAAUUUCAAUGUAUGCAAAUGUUUAAUGUGCAAAUCAAUACAAUACAACAAUACACCACAAUAUAUACAAUAUUAUGUGAAAAUAUGAUAAAAAGUAAAACAAUGAAUGAACUGGUCAAGGAAAGCUUUGACUUUUCUCAGCUUAUCAUUUCCAUCCUCAGCACUGGGGUCCACUACAUGUAACAUGGCCAUUAGGGCCUUGAACCGCUCCCAUGACAUAGUAGACCUUGCCCAAAGCCCAUGGUACAGGGUCUUCAUGCUCCAGUAUCGAUGGAAAGAGCUAACAUCCAUCAGACCACAAUAUAUUAGGGCAAUCAUUUUUUGUAUUUUUUCCAGUCCAUACCCCAGUCUUGUCAGCAUAUGACUGCUUGUCCUCAAUGACACCCCAUGCAUAUGAGUUAGUGUGGGAACAAUUGUCUUGAAGGAUAUGCACAAAAGAAAACCCGUAGCACAUGUCAUAGUCCCCCUAAGAACCGGUGUCACUAAAUUAAUGCUAGCAGGUCUUCUUGGUGAGAAAUCUGGAAGCUGAUUUGGGUUAUCUGGGUCAUCAUAGCUGCUGUGUCCUGUGUGCUGAUUCUGUACUGGUCCAACUCUCCUGGCUUGUCGGCCUCUUGCCCCUUUCCCUCUUGCUCUCACACCUCUCCCUCUCGCUGGUCUUGGUUUCGCUGGCAGAUUUUCAGAAGCACCCUCAUCGCUGCUCUCUUCGUGGCUAAUAUCGCCAGUACCUAAGCUGAAAACCAAUUGAUCAGAAAAAGAACCAGUUCAUUUUCUAUUCUUCUUUUACACACAUAUAUAUAUAUUAUUGUAUGUAUGUAUGUGUGUAUAUAUAUAUAUAUAUAUAAUAUAUAUAUAUUAUUGUACAGACGUGAAAUUACAAGCACACAAAACCUUGAUGUCUCAUCAACAACGAAAUAUUGACAGAACUACACUAAAACCAUAAGUAACCGUCAAAAGUGUUCAUGAAUUAGGUUAGAAUAAUAUCUUGAAAGGAAAAUAAAUACUCCUUGCUAUGUAUGUAUGUAUGUUAA